UCUUUGACUAUGUUGUGUAGUAUCUACAUGUCGAGCAUGGUUAUAUUUUGCGUUUGUCUUAUAAGACAUGUUAUAUCGUUUGUGUGCGCUUGUUCUACAUUAGUUUUACUGGGUCCUGGACAUGCUUAUUUUGUGGACUGUGUAAGAAACAUUUUUAUUGUUUUUGGUUUUAUUAAGGGAUUAGCUACAGGGGUUCGUGGGGUUAUUUUUUCAUUUGCUUUCUUGGGAUUCCUUUACUGUAAUCCGAGAGUCAUAAAUAUCGAAUAGGAUAGCAAGGAUAGCAUAAAGUGACAUUUAAAAUCCAAAAAGUCGAGGGCGAAAGCCACUGUGACACUAUUGUUAUGCUCUAUCAGUAAUCUGUAUUAUGUAAAACUGGUCUGUAAAUACAGCAUGUUUCCUAGCGGAGUUAUACAGAUCAGCAUAGUUAUAAAUUACAGUUUGUUAAAUCACACACUUACUUUUUUAAAUAAAAUUAUUCACGACAUAUGAGUGGGCAGACAAUGGAGGUCGACAGACCUGGUGAGAAUUGCUUCUAUAGAAAGUUAGCACAGCAGUGUCAAUCUCUUGCUUUUCUUCUGAGUAGUAUUUUAUUUAGUUGUAAUACAAUCAAUAAUUUGCUUCUUGAAAUUAAGUAAUGAAUUUCUUGUUUUACUGUAUAAAUUUCAGAUCCUGCCUUUACCUGCUCCCUCCUAUACUGAUGUGGUGUAUGUGGUACUGCUGAGCUUGUAUGUGGUGGAAGCAGAAUUUGUGAGGAUUACUACUGCUCCACUUGUUCCAAGGCUUUUUGCACAACUUGACCAAUACACUGACCAGCUCAUAAAAGUCUUCAAGAAAAAAGGAGGCGUUGCAGGGAAGAAAAUUAGACAAACUUUGGCCCCAGCCACAAAGAAGGAAACUAUUGAAAAGGGGAGGGAGUGUGUCCUCAGGGCACUACCUUUUUACCUGAAUGAAGACCCAACCAUCCUCUUCAAAGAAUAAUUGCUACAGCUACAGCUGUUCAGAGGGAGCUGGAACAAAUUACCCUUGCUAUCUUCACCAUCGAAAAAGCUGAUGUCAGCACUCCUCCAGCCGAUGUGGGUAUAACCAUCUAGGGUGUUCUGCAUGACCUGGAAAACAUGGCCUCUGCAUGUGCACUCUUAAUGGGUGGGAUAUACUGUAUGCACUGAAUCGCAGUUAACCUCGAGACUGAAAGCUUUCUUUGAAGUACUUCAGAAGCUCUUCCUUCAUCUGUAUGUCAGCAGACUCUUGACCAAGGUACAGAUACUCAAGAAUAAACUGAAUGAAUAAGCCAAUCCUUAAUUUGGAUGAUGAAUGUUCUGUCAGAUGGACAGA